rnacentral:tRNA from 1 species
GGCGCAGUGGUGAAAUUGGCAUACACGCUAGCUUCAGAAGUUAGUCCUGUUUUCAGGUUGAGAGUUCGAGUCUCUCCUGCGCCA